AUAUAAGGAGGGACCCUCUGAAGUUACAGUUGAGGAUACAAUGUAUCCCAGGAGUUUCUUCAUGGACCCUAUUCCAGUUUUCACCCGCCUGUCACUUCACCCCAGGGCAAAGAGUUUAUUACACUUUGUUCAAUGUUUGUAACGACUCUCCAUGGGAAGGGUAGUCCAAUAGAAGUUUCAUUGCAGCAUCUGUCCACGGUGUGUACCACUCAGAUAUCCCUUCAAAAGGACCUACCAUUUCAGGAAAACUGGGAGUCUCCAACUGUUGUACACCUUCAGAUUCUCCAUGGGGCUGAAGAUGAGGCCAAACUUCAUCCACCCUGUUGCCAAUGACUGAGCAUAUCAAGGGUACUAAAGACAGACUCCUUCUGCCCAGUAUUCCACUCCUAUAAUGAGAAAUCAUUCUCAGGAUCUCUCUGUCAAUUUUCUGAGAGUAGUUCUAUAACAUGAGCCCUUCCUAUCUCUGCCUUCUGCUUCCUGUUUCCUUUUCUCCCCCCUAUAGGUGUUAGACCUGCAUCAUGUUGUGAAGGCUCUUUCUACUACUCUUGAUCACUCCGUCUUUAACCUCAACAGGAUUUUACCACAAUAAAGCUUACUUGUGUCUAAUUA